CUCUGUGACUGCAUCCAGCAGAGUCGCUCCCACUCUCCCUGGGAAGAGGAGGCGGCGGCAGGAGAGAACAGCCGGGCUCCUGGCUGCCUUGCAAAAGGAAAAAGAGGCAAGGUGGCUCCUGGGAAUUAGUGGCUGAACCUAAGGGCAGGUGCUGAAGCAGGGACAUCAGCAGGAGGUCGGAGUCCUUUCAAGCUUGGGUCAAAAUCUUGAAGUCUGUGAGUUGGACAGAGAUGGAAGCUGAAGGUGCAGAGCCUGCUCGAGAUUCUCUCUACCCCUCCCCUGCUUUCUCUCAAAAUAAAUCAACUUGCACAAAACAA